rnacentral:rRNA from 1 species
AGAGUUUGAUCCUGGCUCAGAUUGAACGCUGGCGGUAUGCUUAACACAUGCAAGUCGAACGGUAGCAGGCCUUCGGGCGCUGACGAGUGGCGGACGGGUGAGUAACGCGUAGGAAUCUGCCUUAUAGUGGGGGACAACGUGGGGAAACCCACGCUAAUACCGCAUACGCUCCCUGUUUGAAAGAAUGGGGAGGAAAGCGGGGGCUCUUCGGACCUCGCGCUAUGAGAUGAGCCUGCGUUAGAUUAGCUAGUUGGUAGGGUAAAGGCCUACCAAGGCGACGAUCUAUAGCUGGUCUGAGAGGACGAUCAGCCACACUGGGACUGAGACACGGCCCAGACUCCUACGGGAGGCAGCAGUGGGGAAUAUUGGACAAUGGGCGCAAGCCUGAUCCAGCAAUACCGCGUGUGUGAAGAAGGCCUUAGGGUUGUAAAGCACUUUCAAUUGGGAGGAAAACCUGCCGGUCAAUACCCGGUAGCUCGACAUUACCUUUAGAAGAAGCACCGGCUAACUCCGUGCCAGCAGCCGCGGUAAUACGGAGGGUGCGAGCGUUAAUCGGAAUUACUGGGCGUAAAGCGUGCGUAGGCGGUUCGUUAAGUCAGAUGUGAAAGCCCUGGGCUCAACCUGGGAACGGCAUUUGAAACUGGCGGACUAGAGUUUAGUAGAGGGGAGUGGAAUUUCAGGUGUAGCGGUGAAAUGCGUA